AUAUAUUCUCCACCGGGGGGGAUGAGAACCCCCGACCGGGGUUCGACAACUGGCAACGCCAGUUGGACAGACCGCGAGCCUGCGAGCGGGCUGCCCCGCAGGGGCGAGCGAAGCGAGUCAAUCCCCCCCUCACCGCCA
rnacentral:sRNA from 1 species